GGGAGUGACUGUGAUGUCAUAAAUGGAAGAUAAUUGUUUCAUUGUGUGAUUAAACAAAAGAAAGAAAUGAACUUGGAAGGGGAAAAGCAGGUGGUUUAUCUGCAUUUCUGGCUAUAGGUUUGGGCAUAGGAAAAGUGAAUAAUGGUGGAGCCCUGAAGUCUUCCUAAGUGGAUGAUAAAAAGUUGAGAAGAUCAAUGGGCUAUCCUGAGCAAGCAUUUCUCAUGGCACUGGUAGGGAUGAAAGGGAGCAAGCUGAAACAAUGAGGCCUCCUGAGGUCUGGCCUGGGCCCUGAAACACCAUCACUUCUGUCUCAUCUCAUUUACCAAAAUGAAGAAACUGAGGCACAGAGAUGUUAAGUAACAUGCUUAAGAUCACACAACAUUUAAGUGGUGCAGCCAGACUACCAUAAAACAUCACCUUGAAGCCAAAUGGAAGCUGAAACUGAAGAUCUUCAAGAAGACAAACAGUUGUCAUUCAGGAUGGUAUCAAAGAGCAUGGAUUCCAAACUCCUAUGAGCAAGGAGAUUCUACAGGGCUUAAAGUGAUCUACAGCUAGUGAGGAUGACAUUGUUAGAUGAAAACCCGGAAUGUACUCUGCUAUGAAAA